CAAAGCCUUCAUGUAUUUCCUUAGGAAACUCAGUGUUGCUGCAGAAACCUACCUCUUCAUCGUUCCCCCUUCCACCGUAUUUCAAAUACACGUUGCCGCCUCUCCUCCAAUCGCGAAGGAUGACCGCUCAUGCUUCAUUCAACGUUCAACGGCGGCUUCAUCUCCUUGAACGAAAGUGGGAAGGAAAACAGGAACGAAAUAGAAGAGAGCUUAAUCCAUUGCACAGUUGACGGCGAAGAGCGAAUUCGGCGCGUUGCGUUCCGAGAUGAGGCUCGAAGAUCCCGCUCGCUUAUGUUGAGGUGAAGACGAAGAUUGGAGGAUCUUCGAUUCGUUCUUGGUUCCAAGUUCCGAUGUGAUUUCAGGUCUAUGAAGGCUUAUGACUGCUGUUGUUAUGAUGAUGCAAGAUGCAUUGUGCAUUGUUAUUGUGGUUUCCUGCUGUUGACAUAAAGUCGUGAUGUCGCUGAAUGUCAAGUUGUGGUUAUUACUAUCAAUAUACUCAUGCUGGUAUUUGCAAUGAUUGUUGAGUAAGAUUUGUGUCGGCUUAUGUGCAUUUGCUUGUUUGAAAAGGAUUGCAUAGGUAGAUACAUGAACUGUUUUGAAAUGUCGAUUAUUUAUGUUAAUGUUAUUGAAUGCUAGGUGUUGAAAUGCAGAAACUGGCUUAAAUGGAUUUGUUUUGACCAAUUGUGUUUGAAUCAUGUUUGGUCCCCCUUCAUGGAGUGAUGGAUCAAAACAAUGGUGUGAGAAUUGGAAUGGAUUGGCAAGGAGGGUGAUCAUAGUUCAUGUUUAGAUUAUAAUUUUAUAAUUUUUGGAUUUGGUUUUAAAUUGUUAAUGGCUCAUGAUUUUGGUUUUGUUUGAAGGUUCAUGGUCGAAUGCUCGUGUGCGCACAACUUGAAAGAUGGAUUAGCUUUUGGUUUGAGGAAAUUUGGAAUUAGGCUUGGAAACAUUGUAAUCAAACUAACCAAUGCAAUGUAAAUGUGUAUAGGUCAUGACUUUGGACAUAAUUUAGAACUUGGUUGAAACUCCUUCUAGUUUUCUUCUUUAUACAAUGUUUAAAUCAAAUUAAAACAUGUAAAUCAUGAUUGGAAAUAUGAAAUUGCACAGGUUAUGUAAUGAUUUUGUAUUGAUUUAUGGAAUGUUAUGCACUUGAAUUGA